rfam:Triticum aestivum genome assembly, contig: Triticum_aestivum_CS42_TGACv1_scaffold_470997_6AL
AAUCUACUCCCUCCGUUCUAAAUUACUUGUCGCAGAAAUGGAUGUAUCUAGAACUAAAAUACAUCUAGAUACAUCCAUUUCUGCGACGAGCAAUUCGGAACGGAGGAAGUAGGAU